rnacentral:sRNA from 2 species
UUAGCACUAUCACAUACUAAAAACACCACAAAUAUCGACUGAAAUACACACUGAAAUUAAUACAAAGUAUCCUGAACCUUUUUAUUGCUUAUUCUACUCUGUACUGAUUGAUUUAUCAGUGCUAGCUAGGAAUACACUCUAUCCAUGACUGAAUCUGCUCCUGUGGUAGCUCCUUCCAUACUUUUUCCCAUAUCUGUAUAGCUUCCAUGUGGCUUUUUGAUGCUUCCUUGGCUGUUGUUUUUUGUUUCAUCCAAAACCACACAGGUUCAAUCAUAUUGAGAUCAGGGGAGUUGGAACAUCAGAGCAGCUGCUGAACCUGAUGAAUAUCAUAUAUAUGUCAUUGAAUAUAGUGAUCAUGAGUGGGGGCUUUAUCUUCUUGGACAAUGGUAUUCAGAUGAUUGAUUUGACACUCUUUUGCAAAGGGAAAGAGCUUUGAAAUAAGGAUUUUGACCUGAUAUUGAUAUCAAUUGAUUCCUUUUUCUGAUCCACAAGAUAGCUUUCCUGUAUUCUUCUUCCACUUUCAUACUGAUUGAGAUUCAGAUAGUUGACAA